rnacentral:lncRNA from 1 species
UAAUUUCUGUACAGUGCCAACUCAACACAGUAAACGGGGAUACUUUUUUCCAAAGUUGACAGCACAGCUAAAGUUUCAAAAAAUUCAAAUUAUAUAUCUGUAUAUAUAUAUAUAUUUAUAUUUAUAUAAAAAGACCAAUAAUAGCAGUGUGUUAUGCAUCAACAGCAGCAACAGCUUUUCCAGGUUCUGCAGUCAUCUGAACAAAACUGUAGAGACAUCCAGCACACUUCAUUAAAAAAAAAAAAGUAAAAAAACAAAACCCGAGAAAACAGCACAGUUCUGUUACUCUUGUGGUACCUGGCACCAUUUUUUUUUAAAUUAGCUUCUCAAUCAUCAUCUGGAAAGAAAACAUUCUGAGCAACAUCAUUAAAAACAGCUCUGAUAAAGCACGGUCACUACUACGUAUCAUAAAGCAGGUACAAGCUAUUUUACAUCCACAGAGGUAUGAUACAGUACUGUCCUACAUCUAUAAUACUAGAGGAUACAAUUUAAAAGGCAUUAUUUGAGACUUGAUUCUACUUUUCCAGCAGAGGGCCCAAAGGAUGGUGUGACAUAGCUUUGUAAAGAAACAUACUCUAGACAGGAUUUCCUUUCACUAGUGGCACAGUUCUAAGGAUUCAUUCUCUCCAUGAAUGUCAGCUAAAACCGUUAUUAAAAAAAUGAAAUAUUUACUCCUUGUAACUUAGCCAAAGGGGGAAGAAAAGACAAGAUGGGUUUCAGUAGGUAAAGGCGACUGAGAUCAUCAGUGGCGUGGACUCUGGGCUGAGGAGAGUAGGCAGAGCGAUCUGACGGAGCCUCACUCUAGCGAGGGGCAGGUGUGUGUCUGUAUGAAGAUACACAGCAGUAGGUAGACAGUUUAGGGA